CAUAUACUCCCUCCAUUCCGAAUUACUUGUCACAAGUAUGGAUGUAUCUAGAUGUAUUUUAGUUUUAGAUACAUCCAUUUCUGAGACGAGUAAUUUGGAACGAAGGGAGUAUGUG
rnacentral:pre_miRNA from 1 species